GAUCGGCCCGCGUCUGAUUAGCUAGUUGGUAGGGUAACGGCCUACCAAGGCGACGAUCAGUAGCUGGUCUGAGAGGAUGAUCAGCCACAUUGGGACUGAGACACGGCCCAAACUCCUACGGGAGGCAGCAGUGGGGAAUAUUGGACAAUGGGGGCAACCCUGAUCCAGCCAUGCCGCGUGAGUGAUGAAGGCCCUAGGGUUGUAAAGCUCUUUUGUACGGGAAGAUAAUGACGGUACCGUAAGAAUAAGCCCCGGCUAACUUCGUGCCAGCAGCCGCGGUAAUACGAAGGGGGCUAGCGUUGCUCGGAAUCACUGGGCGUAAAGGGUGCGUAGGCGGGUUUUUAAGUCAGAGGUGAAAUCCUGGAGCUCAACUCCAGAACUGCCUUUGAUACUGGGAAUCUUGAGUAUGGAAGAGGUGAGUGGAACUGCGAGUGUAGAGGUGAAAUUCGUAGAUAUUCGCAAGAACACCAGUGGCGAAGGCGGCUCACUGGUCCAUAACUGACGCUGAGGCACGAAAGCGUGGGGAGCAAACAGGAUUAGAUACCCUGGUAGUCCACGCC
rnacentral:rRNA from 1 species